CAAGAGCAUCAGUUGUUUUAGUAGCACCAAAAUUAACUGCAAUUCCUUCUCAUUUGUGGGACAGCAAUCUAUAUAGAAACAGGCAAGAAAAACACACUGUCUUCGUUCCCAAUGAAAAAAAGGCACUUUCAUGCUUUCUUUAGAACCAUGGGCACAACUACUUUGCAGGGCAAAUGAGAACUAAUUCAACCAAUGCUCCAUAAUUUCAUAAUUUAAAGGUAUCCGGAGUUCUUCUAAUGUUCCUGUUAAAUGAAAUCUUACGAAAAAGUGUUCAGAUAUAAUCAAGUAUUAAGUAAAUAAUGUGCACGAUACAUAGUUAAAGUAAUGCUGAAUCUUUUUCUUUGUUAAUAUCAAAUAAAUACACUACCUACAGAAA